rnacentral:lncRNA from 1 species
AACAAGGAUCUUCUGGACAGGACAGGACUACUGAGCAGACAGUACAGUACAGUAUAGUAAGAAGCUCUAGGCUUGUCAUGUCAGAAAUAUGCCUCGUUAAGUGGAUGGGCCAGCUCAGGGAAGCAGACAUCACGGCAUUCCCUACACGUCCAGUGAGUGCUUUUCGCUCUAGACUGCUCAGGGAAGGCAAAGACCGAAGACCAUGACUACUGCUUCCUCCUAUACUAGAGUUAAUCACACACCCCAUUGAUGUACCUUUUUUUUUUAAAGAUUUUAUUCAUGUAUUUGGUAUAUAUGAUAAAUACACUGUAGCUAUCUUCAGACACCAGAACAGGGCAUCGGAUCCCAUUACAGAUGGUUCUGAGCCACCAUGUGCUUGCUGGGAUUUGAACUCAGGACCUCUGGGAGAGCAGUCAGUGCUCUUAACCUCUGAGCCAUCUCUCCAGCCCCUUGAUGUACCUUACCUUCUUUACCUCUCCUGGGCCCUAUGUACAACUCCAGGUCCAGCCUUCCUUGUUUCUCUUCUCUCCAGGAAACCUAACUUGUCUCUGGUUCAUCCUACUGCACUCUCCUGGGAAACUAGGGUUUUGUUGGGUUUUUGUUUUUUAAAAAAACUACUCCAAGCAGGUACAGCAGCUUCCUGUAAUACCAGUGUUUAGGAGACUGAGGUAGGCUGGCCUCCAUAGUGUGUACUUAGCAAAGUUGAGCUUUACAAUGAGACUGUCUCAGAAAGUCUCACUUUGGGGCUGGAAAGAUGACUCAGUUAAGAGCAUUUGACUGAUCUUACAGAGCACCUGAGUUCAGUGCCAGCGUGAGGUCACUCACAGCCAUCCAUACCUGGAGUUCCAGGGGACUCCACACCCUCUUCUGACCUUCUUUUGCAUCGGGCACACAUGUGGUACAUAUACAUAUAUCCACAUAUAUAAUACGUGCAAGCAAAGCACUCACAUAAAACAAAAAUAAAUCUUAAAAUCAAACAGACAGCUCCACUCCAUUUAGACUUGCCACUUAGAAUUCUCUUGACUACCUGACUCCAAAAACCUUCAGUAUGGUGCUGGAGAUGCAGAUCAGAGCCAGCAUAGCAGGCACCAGGCUCUGGACUCAAUUCACAACACUACAAAAGUAAAACCAAGUAUUGUCUUGCCUAGUGGGCUGUUCUCACAGCUGCCUUGGGAGUUGUGCAUUCCCUUGAACCAGCUCAAAUCUUCUGCGUACACUGUUCCAAGCUGCACUCAUCGGGAACUUCUAAUCACAGCUAUUAAGUCCUGUAUGUAAAGGUUUUUUUUUUUUAAAGGUGUGUGUGUGUUGUGUGUGUGUAUGGGUGCAUCGUUAGGUCAAAAGAGAGGACAUCAGAUCCCCUGGAACUAGAGUCUAGACGGUCGUGAGCCACCAUUUGGGUGCUGGGUUGGGAACCUGGGUCCUCCCAGAGCUCCAAGUGCUCUUACUGGCUGAGCCAUGUCCCUAGCUCCUGCAUGUGAAGCUUUUGAGAGAGUAAGCUGUUAACGUGUGAAAGUGUGAUCCAUGGGAAGUAAGCCUAAAAAAAACUUAGCUUCACACACACACAUACUUUUCUUCCCAUGAAUAUUGCUCCUCCUUGAUGUCAGCCUUCUUGUCAGUGGGAGCUGUCUGGAGUAACUGGGGGGUUGAGGCAGGUACAGCUGGACUUUGUGGAGUGUACCUGUAACCGCAGCACUUGAGAAGACUAAAGGAGAGGGAAGAAGGUUGCUGUGAUUUUGAGGUCACUCCAGGACACACACAGUAAGACACUGUCCCAAGCAAAUAAGCACACACAAACAAAAAGGAUGUUUUCGUUUGAAAGAGCUUAGUACUGAAAAGAGAGUAAAUCAAGUUCUCGUUUUCCCAGAUGGGUAUGUUCAGGGUUCCAUGCCAGCCUCCUCUGUGGUCACAGCAGCUGUUGGCCACGCCAGACCGUGUGAUCUCGUGUGGUCCUGUUAUCCAUCCUAUGGAGCCAUCAAUUACCCCUUCACAUACAGUUUUUGUCAUAUUCCAGAGGUAACUUGGAAGACAUAGAAAAUUACCUGGCAGGAGUUCAACUGAUGGAAUACCAGGUCACUUGCCUAUCAGCUGUCCUGAGAUGCUCCUGGCCUUGAGCUCCAGUUCCUGCAGUCUCUAGCAUUCCAGAUUCCAAGCUCAAUAAAUAAAGGUGUUUGCCAUUGGUGAUUUAAGUUCAGCUCCCCAGACCUAUAUGGUGGAAAGGAUCAACUCCAGAAAGUUCUCUGAUGGCCACACAGAUGUUGUGGUACUCAUGUAUCCACAUAUAUACAUACAUGCAUAAAUUUAAUUGAAAAAUUUUAAAUAUUAAGAUCUGUUAAAGUUCACUAAAGUGGAUAGAAAACAGCCGGAGAGAAGCAGAAUAAAGGCCAAUUUAUUGUUCUCU